UUAAAUUGAAGAGUUUGAUCAUGGCUCAGAUUGAACGCUGGCGGCAGGCCUAACACAUGCAAGUCGAGCGGAAACGAGUUAUCUGAACCUUCGGGGGACGAUAACGGCGUCGAGCGGCGGACGGGUGAGUAAUG
rnacentral:rRNA from 1 species